rnacentral:lncRNA from 1 species
AGUUAACAUUAAAUUAAAGUCGUGCCAUGGAUUUGCGAUAUCCAACCUAUCAGGUUGUCAUUAACAUUCAAUAAUAACAAGAAAACUAUUAUAAUUUUUUUAUUACGUGAAAGCAAAGGCUUCUUACCCCAGGUGUUUGCUGUAGCCAAUAAAAGCAUAAAAACUCCAGCUAUAAAACAAAAUUCCAUCAAGUCCUUCAAUAGUUCAUGUUUAUAGACCACUCUAAUUAGUGAUUAAAAGCAAGAGUCUCCUCUCUACCACCUCCAAAACAUUUCCUUCUUUUCUCCAAACAUUUCCUUAUUUCACUCGUAAUAUUGAAUAAAAAAUGUGUCUGAUGUUUUUCUGACCUUAGGGAAUAAUUUAAGGGUAGUGCAAGGAAACAAGCUGAUAGCUGGAGCAGAUGCAAAGUAAGUGAGAACAUCUGUCUUUAUUUCCAGUAACUUUAGAGCCUUUCAUAAAACUGAAUGGCAGGCCAGCAGAUCAGGGACAACGGUUGUCAGCAACUUCAUGUCAAGCAAAUAACCACGGCAGUCUUCCAGGAAGAGAUUCUAACUCCUGAUGUAACAGACCACAGUGAACACCACAAGGUAUUGCUAUGCAUCAUACAUAAUUUAGGGUGUUUUAUUCCUGCUUAUCUACUGCGAAGACACAAGGUGGUGUUGAGCUCCAGGCCAGAUCCCAUUUUCUCUGAACUCAAAGCCAUUCUACACUGACUUCUGCACAGC